rnacentral:misc_RNA from 1 species
CUCCCUCAUUACAAUAUUUACACUCGUACCCCCUGCUUUUCCUAAACUACCCCUACUCGGGUAUUGCACUUAACAUUGCUGUAAACUUUCUCCUUCCUCCUCCACCACCACCGCCACNACUUCUGCUUCCAAAAUCGCCUACUCCAGUUGCGGCGGACGAUGUCUUUCUCAUGCUAGAUUUGCUAUCACUCUCACUGGAAUACAACAAAGGAGACACCGACUUCCGGCGGCACCCACGUUUCUUACCACCAGUAUUACUUUUCAUCAACGCAGAGCUAGCUUUGACAGCCAAUGCAGCCAUUUCCUCCGGCUGUAAAGGGUACUUUAACAGACUCAAAGGCAAAGCGAAAUAAAGCUGUCCCAAUUGGAGCUCUUCAUCAUCGUU